UGACACAGGGAGGUAGUGACAAGAAAUAACAAUACAGGGCUUUCGUCUUGUAAUUGGAAUGAUGGUGAUGUACAACCUCACCAGAGUACCAAUUGGAGGGCAAGUCUGGUGCCAGCAGCCGCGGUAAUUCCAGCUCCAAUAGCGUAUAUUAAACUUGUUGCAGUUAAAAAGCUCGUAGUUGUAUUUCAGCCUCGCGUUUUUUCCCUCUUUUUGGGUCUUUUCGCUGGCUUUCUUUUUACUUUGAGAAAAUUAGAGUGUUUCAAGCAGACUUUUGUCUUGAAUACUUCAGCAUGGAAUAAUAGAGUAGGACCUUGGUUCUAUUUUGUUGGUUUGGAGCCUUGGUAAUGGUUAAUAGGAACGGUUGGGG
rnacentral:rRNA from 1 species